rnacentral:rRNA from 1 species
AUAUCAGUCAUGCAUAGCAUAUCAAUAAGCGGAGGAAAAGAAACUAACAAGGAUUCCCCUAGUAACGGCGAGUGAAGCGGGAAGAGCUCAAAUUUGAAAUCUUCAAGGGUUUCCCUUGACGAAUUGUAGUUUAAAGAAGUGUUUUCUGUUAGAGAGGUGGUAAAAGUUCUUUGGAAUAGGACAUCAUAGAGGGUGAGAAUCCCGUAUUUGGUCAUUCCUCCUAGCGUUGUGAUACACUUUCAACGAGUCGGAUUGUUUGGGAAUGCAGUCCAAAAUGGGUGGUAAAUUUCAUCUAAAGCUAAAUAUUGGCGAGAGACCGAUAGCGAACAAGUACCGUGAGGGAAAGAUGAAAAGAACUUUGAAAAGAGAGUUAAACAGUACGUGAAAUUGUCAAAAGGGAAGCGUUUGACACCAGUGUUGUUUUUCCGAAAAUCAAUUACGAAUGUUUUGUUUUUAAGAAGUUAUGACUUCAUCGGCUUGCUUCUUUCUUUACGAAACUUUCUUAAUGCACUUUUCGGUUAACAAGUCAACAUCAAUUUCUUUUGUUGUAAAAGGGUAUGAGGAAGGUGGCUUUCUUUUCGGAGAAAGUGUUUAUAGCCUUGUACCUCUGCAAUCGGAGAGAUUGAGGUCUGCAGCGUUGAUCCUUCGGGGUUAGAUACAUUUGUGCUAAGUUAUAGCUUUUCAUAGACAACUUGUUGACUAUGUUUAGUCUUGUAGCUUACUCGCUUAUGCUAUUUUACCUACGCUUAGGAUGUUGACGAUCAGCUGAGCGCG